rnacentral:rRNA from 1 species
GGACUACACGGGUAUCUAAUCCUGUUUGCUCCCCACGCUUUCGUUUCUCAGCGUCAGUCUCUGACCAGUUGCCCGCCUUCGCCACAGGUGUUCCUCCAAAUAUCUACGCAUUUCACCGCUACACUUGGAAUUCCAGCAACCCCUUCAGUACUCUAGUGCUGAGGUCUCCUGGGCAGUUCCCGAGUUGAGCUCGGGGAUUUCACCUAGGACUCUCAGCACAGCCUACAAACGCUUUACGCCCAGUAAUUCCGAACAACGCUUGCACCCUCUGUAUUACCGCGGCUGCUGGCAC